GCAACAGUUGAAAUCUGUGAUGACAAUCAUAAUACUUUAAUUUCAAGUAUAUACAUCAUUUACACGGAUUUGUUUUCAUCGCACAUAUGUGGCCAUGAAGGUGGAGCCAAAGCAUUCUGUGAUUACUAUGUGCUGAAAUAAAACCCAAAAGUGUCUCUUACCUGAACCGUCUGGACUUGUGGAGACUGGAUGACAGAGGGCUGGGCUGCUUGGAUCACCCCAUGCACUUGGACUGUCUGGCCAUUGGGUAACUGCACUAGGGUGACUGUGGGACUACUGGACGACACCUGGGCUGCUGCUAUGGAUGCCUGCAACCCAUAACCAUACACUGUCUGUAUGCAGCGUUAUGAACUGUUCUCAGCAGCAGCA